rnacentral:rRNA from 1 species
CCUACGGGCCGCAGCAGUGGGGAAUAUUGCACAAUGGGCGCAAGCCUGAUGCAGCCAUGCCGCGUGUAUGAAGAAGGCCUUAGGGUUGUAAAGUACUUUCAGUUGGGAGGAAGGCGUUGAUGCUAAUAUCAUCAGCGAUUGACGUUCCCAACAGAAGAAGCACCGGCUAACUCCGUGCCAGCAGCCGCGGUAAUACGGAGGGUGCAAGCGUUAAUCGGAAUUACUGGGCGUAAAGCGCACGCAGGCGGUUGAUUAAGUUAGAUGUGAAAUCCCCGGGCUUAACCUGGGAAUGGCAUCUAAGACUGGUCAGCUAGAGUCUUGUAGAGGGGGGUAGAAUUCCAUGUGUAGCGGUGAAAUGCGUAGAGAUGUGGAGGAGUACCGGUGGCGAAGGCAGCCCCCUGGACAAAGACUGACGCUCAGGUGCGAAAGCGUGGGGAGCAAACAGGAUUAGAUACCCGGGUAGUC